rnacentral:rRNA from 1 species
GAUGAACGCUGGCGGCGUGCCUAAUACAUGCAAGUCGAGCGAACAGACGAGGAGCUUGCUCCUCUGACGUUAGCGGCGGACGGGUGAGUAACACGUGGAUAACCUACCUCUAAGACUGGGAUAACUUCGGGAAACCGGAGCUAAUACCGGAUAAUAUAUUGAACCGCAUGGUUCAAUAGUGAAAGACGGUUUUGCUGUCACUUAUAGAUGGAUCCGCGCCGCAUUAGCUAGUUGGUAAGGUAACGGCUUACCAAGGCAACGAUGCGUAGCCGACCUGAGAGGAUGAUCGGCCACACUGGAACUGAGACACGGUCCAGACUCCUACGGGAGGCAGCAGUAGGGAAUCUUCGGCAAUGGGCGAAAGCCUGACGGAGCAACGCCGCGUGAGUGAUGAAGGUCUUCGGAUCGUAAAACUCUGUUAUUAGGGAAGAACAAAUGUGUAAGUAAAUAUGCACGUCUUGACGGUACCUAAUCAGAAAGCCACGGCUAACUACGUG